UACAGAGGGUGCAAGCGUUGUUCGGAAUUACUGGGCGUAAAGCGCGUGUAGGCGGCUUUGCAAGUCGGGUGUGAAAGCCCUCGCUCAACCGAGGAAGUGCGCCCGAAACUGCAGAGCUUGAGUACCGGAGAGGAUGGCGGAAUUCCCAAGUAGAGGUGAAGAUUCGUAGAUAUCUGGAGGAACACCGGUGGCGAAGGCGGCAUCCUGGACCAACACUGACACUGAGGAGCGAAAGCCAGGGAGCAACGGG
rnacentral:rRNA from 1 species